rnacentral:rRNA from 1 species
GAUGAACGCUGGCGGCGUGCUUAACACAUGCGAGUCGAACGGAAAGGCCACAGCUUGCUGUGGUACUCGAGUGGCGAACGGGUGAGUAACACGUGGGUGAUCUGCCCUGUACUUCGGGAUAAGCUUGGGAAACUGGGUCUAAUACCGGAUAGGAAUCACAUGUGGGUGUGUGGUUGGAAAGCUUUUGCGGUAUGGGAUGAGCUCGCGGCCUAUCAGCUUGUUGGUGGGGUAAUGGCCUACCAAGGCGUCGACGGGUAGCCGGCCUGAGAGGGUGUACGGCCACAUUGGGACUGAGAUACGGCCCAGACUCCUACGGGAGGCAGCUGUGGGGAAUAUUGCACAAUGGGCGCAAGCCUGAUGCAGCGACGCCGCGUGGGGGAUGACGGCCUUCGGGUUGUAAACUCCUUUCGUCAGGGACGAAGCGAAAGUGACGGUACCUGGAUAAGAAGCACCGGCUAACUACGUG